AGAAUGAACGCUGGCGGCAUGCCUAACACAUGCAAGUCGAACGAGACCUUCGGGUCUAGUGGCGCACGGGUGCGUAACGCGUGGGAAUCUGCCCUUGGGUUCGGAAUAACAGUUAGAAAUGACUGCUAAUACCGAAUGAUGUCGUAAGACCAAAGAUUUAUCGCCCAGGGAUGAGCCCGCGUAGGAUUAGCUAGUUGGUGUGGUAAAGGCGCACCAAGGCGACGAUCCUUAGCUGGUCUGAGAGGAUGAUCAGCCACACUGGGACUGAGACACGGCCCAGACUCCUACGGGAGGCAGCAGUGGGGAAUAUUGGACAAUGGGCGAAAGCCUGAUCCAGCAAUGCCGCGUGAGUGAUGAAGGCCUUAGGGUUGUAAGCUCUUUUACCGGGAUGAUAAUGACAGUACCGGGAGAAUAAGCUCCGGCUAACUCCGCGCCAGCAGCCGC
rnacentral:rRNA from 1 species